rfam:Picea glauca, whole genome shotgun sequence.
AGGUGUGAUCAUACUAGCGUUAAUGCAUCAGAUCCCAUCGAAACUCCACAGUUAAGCACACUUGGGCUAGAGUAGUAUUCGGAUGGGUGACCUCUUGGGAAGUCCUAGUGCUGCACCCU